UCUAGGGGUUCCUCCUCCCGUCGUCCUCCCCGAGCCUCCGCGAAACCCUGAGAAACUCCCGCCCUGGAGCCGGGAAAAGGCCCACCGUCGGAUGUAGCUCCGCAUUGUCUAGCGUCGGCCGACGAGGGCGACAGAACACGGAGAGCGCGGGAGGGGCUUUAGCGUGGUUGUCACCAGAGCUGGGCGACCCUGAGCGGUGGCGGGCGGAGACGCCCGGCCUUCGGGGGAAGGAGGAGGCAGGCUUUUGCAGGCCCCAAAAGUUCGUCCCGAGGUCCGGUCGGGUCUUCGAUGAUUAUUACUGCAGGGGGUCAAUGAGAUCGGCCCCUCCCCACACGCCCCCACUCCCCAAUUACCAACUGCGGAGGGGGAGGGGCCACUGGGGCUCAGGUGAGCACACGGGGGAGAAAGGGCGUGGGCGGGGCCUUACGGAGAGUCAGCGAAUCCGGAAAGACCUAAGCCCUCGUUGCUCGGCGACAAGUCCCGCCCUGCAGGCGGCACCGGAAGUGGCAGGCCAGGAUCAGCCUUUAAGAUGGCGUCUCCUCAGGGGGGCCAGAUUGCGAUCGCGAUGAGGCUUCGGAACCAGCUCCAGUCAGUGUACAAGAUGGACCCGCUACGGAACGAGGAGGAGGUCCGAGUAAAGAUCAAAGACUUGAAUGAACACAUCGUCUGCUGCCUGUGCGCUGGCUACUUCGUGGAUGCCACCACCAUCACAGAGUGUCUCCAUACUUUCUGCAAGAGCUGUAUUGUGAAGUACCUCCAAACCAGCAAGUACUGCCCCAUGUGCAACAUCAAGAUCCACGAGACACAGCCACUGCUCAACCUCAAACUGGACCGGGUCAUGCAGGACAUCGUGUACAAGCUGGUGCCUGGCUUGCAAGACAGUGAAGAAAAACGGAUUCGAGAAUUCUACCAGUCCCGAGGCUUGGACCGAGUCACGCAGCCAGGAGGGGAAGAGCCAGCCCUGAGCAACCUCGGCCUCCCCUUCUGCAGCUUUGACCAUUCAAAAGCCCACUACUAUCGCUAUGAUGAGCAGCUGAGCCUGUGCCUGGAGCGGCUGAGUUCUGGCAAAGACAAGAAUAAAAGCGUCUUGCAGGUGAGAGGGGCUGUGGGAGGGCCUCUCAGGAGACUCACCUCCGCGGGGCCCUUCUCUCACACACCUUGUCUUCCCUUCCCUGCCCACCCUCAGAACAAAUAUGUCAGGUGUUCUGUUAGAGCUGAGGUCCGUCACCUCCGGAGGGUCCUCUGUCACCGCUUGAUGCUAAAUCCCCAGCAUGUGCAGCUCCUUUUUGACAAUGAAGUCCUCCCUGAUCACAUGACCAUGAAACAGAUCUGGCUCUCCCGAUGGUUCGGCAAGAAAUCCUCUGAGUGUCAUCAAGAAGGAUGACCCUCAGCAAAUGACCACAGGAGAGGGGUAGAGGACCCUACUUACGUAAAACCCAGUAAUGUUCUCGGCAAGAGAAAAUCCCAGAAGUGUGCGAGAUGGAUGGAUGCCCGCACCAAGCUCCUCUGCUUGGAGUUUCCCCCAUGAACUCCCACUUACCUCUCAUGCUGGCUAAAGGUACUGGGGCAAAGGGGGGGGGGCGUAUCUCCCAGACUGUCCUUUGCACCGCCCCAGGGGAGUUAUUCUGAGGAUUCCCCCACUACCUCCCCCCACACACGCACAAAAUUCAGAGGAUUGCCUACGGUGCAACAUCUGAAGACUAAAGGUAGUUUAUUGAGCAGAUUUCUGUACCAAGAAGAGGGGCCAAUCUGGGGCAGGCCUGGGUGAGGUUGAAGGGACUCACCAGAUGGGAGGCUGCGGAUGGCUGGGUGAGGGAGAGGCGCGGUGUCUGGGAAUGAGAGAAAAGGUGGGGGUGAUGAGGAAGGGGAAUAAGGCUGGAGAUAAGGUGCAGAGACGAGGAAAUGGAAGUCUGAAAGGGCCUGAUGGGAGGUGAGAGAAAGUAUUAA